UACAGAGGGUGCAAGCGUUGUUCGGAAUUAUUGGGCGUAAAGCGCGUGUAGGCGGCUUUGCAAGUCGGGUGUGAAAUCCCUCAGCUUAACUGGGGAACUGCGUCUGAUACUGGAUGGCUUGAGUGUAGGAGAGGAAUGCGGAAUUCCAGGUGUAGCGGUGAAAUGCGUAGAUAUCUGGAGGAACACCGGUGGCGAAGGCGGCAUUCUGGACUACAACUGACACUGAGGAACGAAAGCCAGGGGAGCAAACGGG
rnacentral:rRNA from 1 species